rnacentral:lncRNA from 1 species
UGAGCAUGUGUGUACCGAGAAACAAUUGACUGACAUAUUCACAAAACCUUUGAGUGAAGACAGGUUUUGCAUGCUUAGGAGGGAAUUAGGUAUAUGUGAUCCCUUUGAUUCAGGAGAUAUAAGAAGGAGCAAGUAGUCUCAUGAUACUCUCCUCCCAUUUCGAAAAACCCAUGAAACAUUAGUCAAACUAGUCAUCUAUAGAUUCCUUACUCAUGUAUCAUUGUCCCAGUAAGAAUUUGUAAGGAUUGGAGGAAAGAAAGAAUUUUAAAAAGAAAAGGAAGAGAAAGAAAAUUUUCUGAACUAGGGUCGACCCAAACCAGAAUGAGGUCGACCCAACGACGGGAUCCCACUUUUAAAAGGGGGACCCGUGAGCGACAUUAGGGCACUGUUUCAUCUUGUCCUCUUCCUAAAAUCCUAUUUCCCACUCUCCAAUCUCUUCCAAUCAUCUCCAAACAGUAGAAGGAAGUUUCCCCAAGCCGUUAGAUCAAGAUCUUGAAGGAAUGGGACCCAAGCGAGCCAUAGCCAAGC